rnacentral:rRNA from 1 species
AAUAUUGGGCAAUGGACGGAAGUCUGACCCAGCCAUGCCGCGUGCAGGAAGACGGCCUUCUGGGUUGUAAACUGCUUUUAUAUAGGAAGAAAACGCCCAUGCGUGGGAAACUGACGGUACUAGAUGAAUAAGCACCGGCUAACUCCGUGCCAGCAGCCGCGGUAAUACGGAGGGUGCAAGCGUUGUCCGGAGUUAUUGGGUUUAAAGGGUGCGUAGGCGGCCCGUUAAGUCAGUGGUGAAAGCCUCCAGCUCAACUGGAGAACUGCCAUUGAUACUGACGGGCUUGAGUACAGACGAGGUUGGCGGAAUUGAUUGUGUAGCGGUGAAAUGCAUAGAUACAAUCAAGAACUCCGAUUGCGUAGGGAGCUAACUAGGCUGUAACUGACGCUGAGGCACGAAAGCGUGGGGAGCGAACAG